CGGAGGGUGCAAGCGUUGCUCGGAAUUACUGGGCGUAAAGCGUACGCAGGCUGUCCAUCAAGUCGGGUGUGAAAUCCCGGGGCUCAACCCCGGAAUUGCGCCCGAAACUGAUGGGCUUGAGUGCGGGAGAGGGAAGCGGAAUUCCUGGUGUAGAGGUGAAAUUCGUAGAUAUCAGGAGGAACACCGGUGGCGAAAGCGGCUUCCUGGCCCGACACUGACGCUCAUGUACGAAAGCGUGGGGAGCAAACAGGAUUAGAUACCCUGGUAGUCCACGCCGUAAACGAUGAGUGCUAGCUGCUGGGAAUGUCUACCGUCUCAGUGGCGAAGCUAACGCAUUAAGCACUCCGCCUGGGAAGUACGGCCGCAAGGCUA
rnacentral:rRNA from 1 species